rnacentral:rRNA from 1 species
GGUUAAGCGAACAAGCGUACACGGUGGAUGCCCUGGCAGUCAGAGGCGAUGAAGGACGUGCUAAUCUGCGAAAAGCGCCGGUAAGGUGAUAUGAACCGUUAUAACCGGCGAUGUCCGAAUGGGGAAACCCGGUGCACUUCGGUGCAUCAUCGUUAGCUGAAUACAUAGGCUAACGAAGCGAACCGGGGGAACUGAAACAUCUAAGUACCCCGAGGAAAAGAAAUCAACCGAGAUUCCCCCAGUAGCGGCGAGCGAACGGGGAACAGCCCAGAGCCUGAAUCAGCUUGUGUGUCAGUGGAACGGUCUGGAAAGGCCGGCGAUACAGGGUGACAGCCCCGUACACGAAGGCACACAGGCUGUGAGCUCGAUGAGUAGGGCGGGACACGUGAUAUCCUGUCUGAAGAUGGGGGGACCAUCCUCCAAGGCUAAAUACUCCUGACUGACCGAUAGUGAACCAGUACCGUGAGGGAAAGGCGAAAAGAACCCCGGCGAGGGGAGUGAAACAGAACCUGAAACCGUGUACGUACAAGCAGUGGGAGCCUUCGUAAGAGGGUGACUGCGUACCUUUUGUAUAAUGGGUCAGCGACUUAUAUUCUGUAGCAAGGUUAACCGUAUAGGGGAGCCGAAGGGAAACCGAGUCUUAACCGGGCGUUAAGUUGCAGGGUAUAGACCCGAAACCCGGUGAUCUAGCCAUGGGCAGGUUGAAGGUUGGGUAACACUAACUGGAGGACCGAACCGACUAAUGUUGAAAAAUUAGCGGAUGACCUGUGGCUGGGGGUGAAAGGCCAAUCAAACCGGGAGAUAGCUGGUUCUCCCCGAAAGCUAUUUAGGUAGCGCCUCGUGAAUUCAUCUCCGGGGGUAGAGCACUGUUUCGGCUAGGGGGCCAUCCCGGCUUACCAACCCGAUGCAAACUGCGAAUACCGGAGAAUGUUAUCACGGGAGACACACGGCGGGUGCUAACGUCCGUCGUGAAGAGGGAAACAACCCAGACCGCCAGCUAAGGUCCCAAAGUCAUGGUUAAGUGGGAAACGAUGUGGGAAGGCCCAGACAGCCAGGAUGUUGGCUUAGAAGCAGCCAUCAUUUAAAGAAAGCGUAAUAGCUCACUGGUCGAGUCGGCCUGCGCGGAAGAUGUAACGGGGCUAAACCAUGCACCGAAGCUGCGGCAGCGACACUAUGUGUUGUUGGGUAGGGGAGCGUUCUGUAAGCCUGCGAAGGUGUGCUGUGAGGCAUGCUGGAGGUAUCAGAAGUGCGAAUGCUGACAUAAGUAACGAUAAAGCGGGUGAAAAGCCCGCUCGCCGGAAGACCAAGGGUUCCUGUCCAACGUUAAUCGGGGCAGGGUGAGUCGACCCCUAAGGCGAGGCCGAAAGGCGUAGUCGAUGGGAAACAGGUUAAUAUUCCUGUACUUGGUGUUACUGCGAAGGGGGGACGGAGAAGGCUAUGUCAGCCGGGCGACGGUCGUCCCGGUUUAAGCGUGUAGGCUGACUUUCCAGGCAAAUCCGGAAGGUUAAGGCUGAGGCGUGAUGACGAGGCACCACGGUGCUGAAGUGACAAAUGCCCUGCUUCCAGGAAAAGCCUCUAAGCAUCAGGUAACAUCAAAUCGUACCCCAAACCGACACAGGUGGUCAGGUAGAGAAUACCAAGGCGCUUGAGAGAACUCGGGUGAAGGAACUAGGCAAAAUGGUGCCGUAACUUCGGGAGAAGGCACGCUGACAUGUAGGUGAAGCCCCUGCGGGUGGAGCUGAAGUCAGUCGAAGAUACCAGCUGGCUGCAACUGUUUAUUAAAAACACAGCACUGUGCAAACACGAAAGUGGACGUAUACGGUGUGACGCCUGCCCGGUGCCGGAAGGUUAAUUGAUGGGGUUAUCGCAAGAGAAGCUCCUGAUCGAAGCCCCGGUAAACGGCGGCCGUAACUAUAACGGUCCUAAGGUAGCGAAAUUCCUUGUCGGGUAAGUUCCGACCUGCACGAAUGGCGUAAUGAUGGCCAGGCUGUCUCCACCCGAGACUCAGUGAAAUUGAACUCGCUGUGAAGAUGCAGUGUACCCGCGGCAAGACGGAAAGACCCCGUGAACCUUUACUACAGCUUGACACUGAACAUUGAGCCUUGAUGUGUAGGAUAGGUGGGAGGCUUUGAAGCGUGGACGCCAGUCUGCGUGGAGCCAACCUUGAAAUACCACCCUUUAAUGUUUGAUGUUCUAACCUGGCGCCGUGAUCCGGCGUGGGGACAGUGUCUGGUGGGUAGUUUGACUGGGGCGGUCUCCUCCCAAAGUGUAACGGAGGAGCACGAAGGUCAGCUAAUCCUGGUCGGACAUCAGGAGGUUAGUGCAAUGGCAUAAGCUGGCUUGACUGCGAGAGUGACGGCUCGAGCAGGUGCGAAAGCAGGUCAUAGUGAUCCGGUGGUUCUGUAUGGAAGGGCCAUCGCUCAACGGAUAAAAGGUACUCCGGGGAUAACAGGCUGAUACCGCCCAAGAGUUCAUAUCGACGGCGGUGUUUGGCACCUCGAUGUCGGCUCAUCACAUCCUGGGGCUGAAGUAGGUCCCAAGGGUAUGGCUGUUCGCCAUUUAAAGUGGUACGCGAGCUGGGUUUAGAACGUCGUGAGACAGUUCGGUCCCUAUCUGCCGUGGGCGCUGGAGAAUUGAGGGGGGCUGCUCCCAGUACGAGAGGACCGGAGUGGACGCAUCACUGGUGUUCGGGUUGUCAUGCCAAUGGCACUGCCCGGUAGCUAAAUGCGGAAGAGAUAAGUGCUGAAAGCAUCUAAGCACGAAACUUGCCCCGAGAUGAGUUCUCCCUGAGACUGUAAGUCUCCUGAAGGAACGUUGAAGACGACGACGUUGAUAGGCCGGGUGUGUAAGCGCAGCGAUGCGUUGAGCUAACCGGUACUAAUGAACCGUGAGGCUUAACCUU